rnacentral:rRNA from 1 species
UGCCAGCAGCCGCGGUAAUACGGAGAGGGCAAGCGUUGUUCGGAUUUACUGGGCAUAAAGCGCACGUAGGCGGAUCGGUAGGUGAGAUGUGAAAGCCCACGGCUCAACCGUGGAAUUGCGUUUCAAACCCCCAAGCUCGAGGAAGAUAGGGGUGAUGGGAACUUAUGGUGGAGCGGUGAAAUGCGUUGAUAUCAUAGGGAACACCGGUGGCGAAAGCGCAUCACUGGAUCUUUUCUGGCGCUGAGGCACGAAAGCUAGGGUAGCGAACGGGAUUAGAUA